CCUACGGGAGGCAGCAGUGGGGAAUCUUAGACAAUGGGGGCAACCCUAAUCUAGCCAUGCCGCGUGAGUGAUGAAGGCCUUAGGGUCGUAAAGCUCUUUCGCCUGUGAUGAUAAUGACAGUAGCAGGUAAAGAAACCCCGGCUAACUCCGUGCCAGCAGCCGCGGUAAUACGGAGGGGGUUAGCGUUGUUCGGAAUUACUGGGCGUAAAGCGCGCGUAGGCGGAUUAGAAAGUUGGGGGUGAAAUCCCGGGGCUCAACCCCGGAACUGCCUCCAAAACUGCUAGUCUAGAGUUCGAGAGAGGUGAGUGGAAUUCCGAGUGUAGAGGUGAAAUUCGUAGAUAUUCGGAGGAACACCAGUGGCGAAGGCGGCUCACUGGCUCGAUACUGACGCUGAGGUGCGAAAGUGUGGGGAGCAAACAGGAUUAGAUACCCUGGUAGUCCACACCGUAAACGAUGAAUGCCAGUCGUCGGAUAGUAUACUAUUCGGUGACACACCUAACGGAUUAAGCAUUCCGCCUGGGGAGUACGGUCGCAAGAUUAAAACUCAAAGGAAUUGACGG
rnacentral:rRNA from 1 species